GCACCUGUCUGAGAUUUUAGAUUGCCCUCGGGGGAGGGUGAUUAACCUCUCCCUUUUUCCAUGAACUCAGGGGAGCAGAGAGUGCUUUGUCUCCUCCUGUGGCUGGAAUUUGGGAGCUGUGGAUCCCUGCUCGUGUUUCUGUGUGAGGAACAGCUCCUGAAACAGACAGGUGCCCACAUCCCCAAAAACUGCGACGAGAGAUGACAUCUUUGUUGACAGCCUCAUCAGAUUAAUUGGGACUUGAGGAGCGAGCUAAUUCUCACAUCAAGAGGCUUGAGAACACAACUGUGGGAGCCGCGUGGAGAACCUUGAACUCGUGCUCCUUGUGCCGCCGCCAGAUCAGAGCAGCUUUGAUGGACUGGAUUAGGAAAUCAGUACCCACACACUGAACGUGCUUAAUCCCUCCAGGGACGCUCAUUAAACACCGUUCAGAGCCAGGGCCGUAACAGCGUGCGCGCAGUCAGGAGCGCCACGUUUCAUUUGGGUGCUUUCAAACAGCUUCAUGCAAACAGUUUAACACAUUAAAACACGUGUGAAACUCCCCAAACCGUGGAUUUGGGGCAUUAAGUGGAACCUGAGGUGUUGAAAGCGCGAGGGAGGGUCAGGUUUUGGGGGGACACGUGAAUUAUUGGGGAGAAGCUCUGAGGAGUGGAUGGGAUCCGCUGGGUCAGGGGUUCAGUGCUCUGCAGCAGGAGAUAGCUGUGCCAUGGAAAACCUCCCGUGAGGUGCUCCAGUGCCGCUUGAAAAUGAAUUAGAAUUUUCCUCCUCUUGGGACUCUCUUCUGUGACCUUUCCCCAGUAAUGGGCAAGAGGCUGUCAUCUCAUUUCAGAAUAAAUCUAUUCCUGGCUAA